UUAUGUUUUUUUCCAAUGAACAGAUUAUUGUCAAUCUUUUGCUUUAAAAUGGUGUUUGGGAAAAGGAAGGAAGCAGAUACCUCAAAGAGUUUAGGAACUGAUUUAUGACAAGGUAUAUGAAGCUCACGGAGUGUGAGCAUGAGCAGGAAAGAGUGAGAGGAAGGCUGUCAGUAAAAGGGUCACGCACUCGCGCAGAUCAACAGUGGAACAACCCAAAUACCUCAAACCUUUUAAUUUGUGUUCUGGCAUGGCAUCCUUGUCUGUACAAUUAGAGAUGUUACCAUUUCCCGUGGGUAAGGUUGCCUGCUACUUUCCAAUUUCAGCUCAUAUUUUUAGUGCCUAUUACUUCACAGAUUUUAACCAUGGGACCAAGUUUUCAGUCUUGAGAAUCUGGCUGAAAUCUUUAAAGAUUUUCAGCAAAAAUAAAGCAGCCUUUCCAACAAUUUUCCAACUGCCAUUUUGUGCAUAUUCCUUUUUUGUUACCAUUACUGGGGAAUUUUACUUCCCAUAAAUUUACCACUCAGAAAUCAAAAUGAUAACAGUCUGAUAUAUUUCUAUAGGUCCUUGUAUCAGAAGUGUUCCUUUCCAUUGAAAAUGGCCUGAAAACGCUACUGGUUUAAUAAGCAUAUGUUCAAGAUAGGCUUAUUAGAUUUGGGUUGAAUGAGACUUCCCAUGUAAUUAUUCCUUCCAGCCCUCCAGGUGAGUGUAAUGCUGCACAUCAGAACUGGGAAGAAGGACUCGCUCUCUGUUCCCCUGUCUGUGCUGGUCUCUUCCAUAUGCUGAGGAGGAAGAGUCAGCUGCUGCUUUACCUAAAUGAGGCAGCGCCGACACGGGGCCUGGAAGGAAGGGAAGCCAGCAUGCAUCUGGCCGGGAGGCGAGAGCGGGACCGGAUGAGAGCUGCACGCCGGAAGGGACAAACCCUCAAGGAUGGACAAGGGGCCAGGCAAGAAGUGGCAUAGAUAUCCUGGAUAUGCAAAAUAGCCACACCAGAAGAAUAGACAGCGAAGCUUAACAGACUCAUGUCAUUUUGGUUUCAUUCACACUCUUUUUCCUGAUACCCCUAACACUCGUGUAAAUGCAGAAUCUGUAUUAAUAUCCAGAAAACUUUAUAAUGAGAGCUUUAUUGACACAUUUAUUAUACUUCUGUAUAACAGGAUAAUGAUGACCAGCUGGCUACAGAUAAUGACAGGCAGUAAUUUAUAUUGGGUUACUACAUUGUGUUCUGUAGGCUGUCACUUUUUUUGGUUUGUUUUUUUUUCUUUUUUUUUUGUCAUUUUUAGCAUUCUUGCCCUUUUGUACUUGCAUUUUAUGAUGCUCACAUUUACUAUUCUUGCAUGCAAGGAAAGGAAUGAGCACUUAAAAAUCCUUUUGUUUAAUUACGCUUUCAGCUAUUAAUUAGUCUCAUAAACAAAUUAAAUGGACAUUUAAUUAAAUGUUACUCUUUUAAAAGGGUAAACUGGAAGCAAAUCCCAUUGAUUUAAAACCGAUACUGCAUGCCUUUAUCUUAGUCAGGUAGCGUUAGGGAUUAAUGUACUUUAGCUGUUACAUUUAUAAUCAGAUACGUUAGCAUUUAUGUUUUUGUAGCAUACAGAAGAUCAGUUAAGAUGUGAGCUCUCUUCAGCUCAGUACUUUACAAACAGAACUUGAAGUUUAUCUGCAAGAUUUACCUCCUUUCUUUGUUACCUUGAAAAUAAAUUAUUGUGAUACCCUC